rnacentral:rRNA from 1 species
CCUACGGGAGGCAGCAGUGGGGGAUAUUGCACAAUGGGGGAAACCCUGAUGCAGCGACGCCGCGUGGGUGAAGAAGCGCCUCGGCGCGUAAAGCUCUGUCAGUAGGGAAGAAAAUGACGGUACCUGAAGAAGAAGCCCCGGCUAACUACGUGCCAGCAGCCGCGGUAAUACGUAGGGGGCAAGCGUUAUCCGGAUUUACUGGGUGUAAAGGGGGCGCAGGCGGCGAUGCAAGCCAGGAGUGAAAGCCCGGGGCCCAACCCCGGGACUGCUGUUGGAACUGCGUGGCUAGAGUGCAGGAGGGGCAGGCGGAAUUCCUGGUGUAGCGGUGAAAUGCGUAGAUAUCAGGAGGAACACCGGUGGCGAAGGCGGCCUGCUGGACUGCAACUGACGUUGAGGCCCGAAGGCGUGGGGAGCAAACAGGAUUAGAUACCCUUGUAGUC